ACGACCUUACUUGAACAGGAUCUGUUCUAUAGGCUCGUACCGCUGCAUCCUUUACCAAUAAGGAGGCAAGCACUUCAGUCUGGUUGAUGAAUUCUGACC
rnacentral:snoRNA from 1 species